ensembl:lncRNA
GAAGUGGGAUCUGUUGGACAGGUAGGAGUGGAGGCAGCUGAGUGCAGGACCUGCACUCAGGUCGAGGAGGAUGAGGAUGUUGAGGGAACCGGUGUCAGCAGAGGUGAGUAGGUCAUUGAGGACUUUGAGGAGAGCGGUUUCAGUGCUCUCCUCAAACCAAUUUCGAACCAGAUUGGAGGGGUUCGAAUUGGUUAUUGGCAUGAAGAUGGGUUUGUAGUUGUGUAGUUUGUAAUUUAAAUGUAUCUUUUAAUAUUCUAUAAUAAUCAAUAAUUCUACCAAAUGUAUUGUUAUGUAUUUUAUUGCCAUACUUGCCAUAUCUAUACAUUUCGAUACAAAUACCCAGAUUGCUGCUAGUUUACAAUAGUAUUUUUAAACUGCUGCUAGUGUAGAGUGUUAUGUACUGAAUAUUAUUGCUUUAUUUUUUUGUCUGGCUAUAUUUUUGUUUAAAUAUUUUUCUUUUUAAUUCUCGCUACUAGUUGUCGGUGGCAGUGUCACUAGAAUGUCAUUGUGCGGGAUAACUCCGUGUUCACCCGGUGCAUUUGACAAAUAAACCUUCAAACUUGAAUUCAUUAUAUGAUAGAAACAAGUCCCAAGGGCGUGUAAAUAUGGGCAUGGAGGUUGAAUGUCUGCUGGUUCCGUGGUGACCCAUACAGCCAUGUCUGAUAAUGCCCAGCGGGGUCGAAACAGCCGGGAGUCCCGUUCUUGAGUGCCGGGCCCUACGACGUUAGGUGUCAUCAAUUACCGCAGGUGUAGGCUAGAGCAAAGGUUCUCAGGUGCUUUGCUCCCGCUGCAAAUCUUAUCAGGCGUGACUGCAUUUGUCAUCAUUACUGGCACGAAUGUGGUUUGACAUUCCAUGUGUGGUACCUCAUUUAUAAUCAAAGGGUCUGAUUGGUCAAAUCAUCAUUCGUUUGUUCAGAAUGUGUCGGCCGGUGUAAAUGCACUAAAUUACAUUUUUACACAUUACACAUGCUCAGACAAAGCCAGGAAAGGUAGAAUUACAGUUGGGUGAAGAUUCAAUCCUUCAAUGAUGACUUCAAUGUCUGCUACGACCCGUCUAUAAGACCAUGGGAAACAGCACCCUUCUUUCAUCUAAAAUGUCCUUGUUUUUGAAGGAUUUUUUUUAUUUUUAUUAAAAUAACAUCAAAUUGAUCAGAAAUACAGUGUAGACAUUGUUAAUGUUGUGAAUGACUAUUGUAGCUGGAACCAGCUGAUUUUCAAUGGAAUAUCUACAGAGGCCCAUUAUCAGCAACCAUCAGUCCUAUAUGUUCCAAUGGCACAUUGUGUUUGCUAAUGCUGGAUGUCCUCCGUUCAAGAGCAAUUACAAGAUGUUCACCAGGAAAUUACAAGAUGUUCACCAGGAUCACAAUUAGAAAAUAUAUCAAAGAGAGAACACAUGCCAAGGUGGAUUAAAAAUGCACAAGCCAUGAAAUUAUUUGGAUUCAAUUAGAUUAGAAAAAACUUUAUUGCAGUGUUUUUAGCUUAACCAGAUGAAAAACAUUGAAUUAUUGUAAGUAUAUUAAACUCAAUAUAAAUUAAUAAAAAUCUAAACUGUUUGGGGAAACAACUUGAAGAUCAUCAAAUAAAUCAUACAAUGUGUCCAAAUUUAGGCAUGCAAGGUGUAAAAAAACUAAUAAUUACAAUGUUAAAAAGUGUUGUAUAAGACAUUCAUGAAAAGACAUUCUAAAACAGGUAAGAUGAUUUCAGGGUGUUGUAUAAGUUAUUUUGAUUUCUUAAAUUACAUUACACAAUUAUAGAGCACUUCUUUUGCAAAAUUAUGAAAAUACCACUGUUUACCUUUCAUUUGAUACAGUUUUUAUUAAUUAAGUUAAUUCUUCUAUUUCUCACUCAAGGGCCUGAAACCCCUACAGAGGUAAGUUAACGCCCCCACUCCUCAUCCUUGACUUUAUAUUAUAUUACUGUGGUAUGACAUUUCAGAUUAUAAUAAUCCAUCUGUAGCUCACUGGAACUACAACAGAAAGCUUUUUAUAUAAAUCUGCAUGUGGUUAAAGAUGCUUACGCAGGACACUGAUGCAUCUUGGUCUAAGCAACAUACAACAAAGGACAAAAAAAGCAAUUUCUUUCACCAUGGAUGUUUUGGGACAUCUGGUGAUUAUGUUGACUCUGUUGCUCCAAGACCUGCAAAUGAUGUAGGAGUGAGAUGAACAGGACACUGGUAAACAGCGCUCAACUUUUUUAUUCAACAGCCACUGUGGCUGGUUUUCCAAAGUUACUAGCCACUCAACAUUUUCACUAGCCACCAUUCAAGCAAUAUAUAUAUUCUUAACAUGACCUACAACUAUUAACAUGUUAUUUAAAAAUAAAUAUAAAAUCACCCACCAGCUUUCAUAAUUAAUCAGUCAAGAUUAUUGUUGUUUAUUUUCGUUAUGCCAUGUUCUUGUUAAUAUAGACUUGCAUAAAAAAAUGAAACAGAGCUGUAUUUAUUACAGCCUUGUCAAGUUAUUUUUCCCACAUCUUUGCCUUGACGCCACAUUGUUCCUCCAGUUCCAUCAGCUAUACUAGGCUGUACUGUUGCUGAUCCAGCGUCUUCACGAUCAUAUAUUUAUAUUGAGAAACCCAGCUGCCCUUUCCCCCAUUGCCCUGGGUGGUUCCCCAGUCAACUCUGUGGAGUCCUUUCGCUUUCUGGGCACCACCAUCAGCCAGGACCUCAAGUGGGAGCUGAACAUCACCUCGCUCACAAAGAAAGCAGAGGAUGUACUUCCUGUGGCAGCUAAAAAAGUUCAACCUGAACAAAGACUAUUAUGGGGCAUUUCCACACUGCCAUCCUAGAGUCCAUCUUGACCUCUUUCACUGUCUGGUAUGCUGCAGCCUGCCCUUGCAGCCUGUCCUUGGCAGUAUCAUCCACUCUGCAGAGAGGGUAAUUGGCUGCAAUCUGCCGUCUCUACAAGACCUACACACCUCCAGGACGCGGAGGCGAGCGGCAAAUAUUGGGGCUGAUCCCUCUCACCCAGGAAAUGGACUAUCCAGAACUCUCCCCUCUGGCAGAAGGUUUAGGUCUAUCAGGACCAAAACCUCUCACCACAAGAACAGUUUCUUUUUUACAGCAGUAGGCCUCAGGAACAUGCCCCUGGAGCCAAACUCACUAUAGCCUGCUCCCCACAUACACACACAACCCUCAACAGGACAAAUCUACAACCCCUCCCCACAUACACACACAACCCUCUACUGGACAAAUCUAUAACCCCUCCCCACAUACACACACAACCCUCAACUGGAUAUCUUGCACCUUACAUAUUUUGUAGUAUAUUUUUUAAGAAUUGAUUAAUGCUCAGUCUACGGUUUUUAUGCUCAGUCCACUAGCAGAUCACUAGGUGUCGCUGAUGUGUGAUCAUGAUUAUUGCUCUGUCACAAACAUUUGACCGACAAAGGCACCUUAAUGAGCACCAAGAAAACAUUUGAAAAAAAAUAAAUAGCAUAUGAAAACAUGUUUUACAAAAGACUAAUAGCAUUAGGUUUAACAUUCCUGAAUGUUCUUCGAAAAUCUAUUUGGUUUGUACUCGUCAUUACCAACACCACAUAAACAAUUCAUACAAAUGAAUUGUCAACUGUCAACUGUAGCAUCUGUUCUCUAUCUCUGAUGUAUUUUCUCAUUGUGAUCCUGGUGAGAAAUUAAAUGUAGUGUUUGGAUAGAUGUUAUUGUUCCAUUGACCUUAGAUAUGUUGUAGUUUUACUUGUUUUAUGUGUAAAAACAAUAAUGACAUGUUAACCAAACAACGUGACAUUGCACCUGUUCCUAGGACGCUGAUUCAGGUUACAGGAACAUCUUGUAAUUGCUCUUGAUCCCAGGACAUAUAGAGAAGAUCCCACAACAUCCCUAAGGACUUGUUCUUCUGGUGAUGGUGUUGACUAUUUGGAAAUAAUCAACACCAGGAUUUUAUUUGCAUCUCAGAAUAACAUUUUGGGUUUUCUUUUGGUGCUGACUUUUGAG